UGCCUAAUACAUGCAAGUCGAGCGAACUGAUUAGAAGCUUGCUUCUAUGACGUUAGCGGCGGACGGGUGAGUAACACGUGGGCAACCUGCCUGUAAGACUGGGAUAACUUCGGGAAACCGAAGCUAAUACCGGAUAGGAUCUUCUCCUUCAUGGGAGAUGAUUGAAAGAUGGUUUCGGCUAUCACUUACAGAUGGGCCCGCGGUGCAUUAGCUAGUUGGUGAGGUAACGGCUCACCAAGGCAACGAUGCAUAGCCGACCUGAGAGGGUGAUCGGCCACACUGGGACUGAGACACGGCCCAGACUCCUACGGGAGGCAGCAGUAGGGAAUCUUCCGCAAUGGACGAAAGUCUGACGGAGCAACGCCGCGUGAGUGAUGAAGGCUUUCGGGUCGUAAAACUCUGUUGUUAGGGAAGAACAAGUACGAGAGUAACUGCUCGUACCUUGACGGUACCUAACCAGAAAGCCACGGCUAACUACGUGCCAGCAGCCGCGGUAAUACGUAG
rnacentral:rRNA from 1 species